rnacentral:tRNA from 1 species
GUCGGGAUAGCUCAGUUGGUAGACCAGAGGACUGAAAAUCCUCGUGUCACCAG